GUCCACGCCGUAAACUAUGAAUACUAGGUGUAGGUGGUAUCGACUCCAUCUGUGCCGACGCAAACGCAUUAAGUAUUCCGCCUGGGACUACGGCCGCAAGGUUGAAACUCAAAGAAUUUACGGGACCCGCACAAGCAGCGGAGCAUGGGGUUUAAUUCGACGCAACGCGAAACCUUACCAGAACUUGACAUCGAGUGAAGAACCUUGUAAUGAGGUUCGUCCCUUCGGGGACACGAAGACAGGUGUUGCAUGGUUGUCGU
rnacentral:rRNA from 1 species